AUUGAACGCUGGCGGCAGGCCUAACACAUGCAAGUCGAGCGAGAGGCGGGCGGGUGAGUAAUAUCUGGGAAACUGCCUGAUGGAGGGGGAGAACUACAGGGGACGGUAGCUCAUACCCCAUACAAAUUGAUGUGCGCCGAUGGGAGUAGCUAGUAGGGGGGGUAACGGCUCACCUAGGCGACCAGCCCUAGCUGGUCUGAGAGGAUGACCAGCCACACUGGAAAGGAUACACUGUCCAGACUCCUACGGGAGGGAGCAGUGGGGAAUAUUGCACAAUGGGCGAAAGCCUGAUGCCGCCAUGCCGCGUGUGUGAAGAAGGCCUUCGGGUUGUAAAGCACUUUAAGCGGGGAGGCGUUACCCGCAGAAGAAGCACCGGCUAACUCCGUGCCAGCAGCCGCGGUAAUAC
rnacentral:rRNA from 1 species